GACGAACGCUGGCGGCGUGCUUAACACAUGCAAGUCGAGCGGAAAGGCCACUUCGGUGGUACUCGAGCGGCGAACGGGUGAGUAACACGUGAGUAAUCUGCCCCUGGCUUUGGGAUAGCCACCGGAAACGGUGAUUAAUACCGGAUAUGACCGACUUCCGCAUGGUUGUUGGUGGAAAGUUUUUCGGCCAGGGAUGUGCUCGCGGCCUAUCAGCUUGAUGGUGAGGUAAUGGCUCACCAUGGCUUCGACGGGUAGCCGGCCUGAGAGGGUGACCGGUCACACUGGGACUGAGACACGGCCCAGACUCCUACGGGAGGCAGCAGUGGGGAAUAUUGGACAAUGGGCGGAAGCCUGAUCCAGCAACGCCGCGUGAGGGAUGACGGCCUUCGGGUUGUAAACCUCUUUCGCCUGUGACGAAGCGCAAGUGACGGUAACAGGUAAAGAAGCACCGGCCAACUACGUGCCAGCAGCCGCCGUAACAC
rnacentral:rRNA from 1 species